rnacentral:rRNA from 1 species
AGCGAACAGAAAAGGAGCUUGCUCCUUUGACGUUAGCGGCGGACGGGUGAGUAACACGUGGGCAACCUACCCUAUAGUUUGGGAUAACUCCGGGAAACCGGGGCUAAUACCGAAUAAUCUCUUUUGCUUCAUGGUGAAAGACUGAAAGACGGUUUCGGCUGUCGCUAUAGGAUGGGCCCGCGGCGCAUUAGCUAGUUGGUGAGGUAACGGCUCACCAAGGCGACGAUGCGUAGCCGACCUGAGAGGGUGAUCGGCCACACUGGGACUGAGACACGGCCCAGACUCCUACGGGAGGCAGCAGUAGGGAAUCUUCCACAAUGGGCGAAAGCCUGAUGGAGCAACGCCGCGUGAGUGAAGAAGGUUUUCGGAUCGUAAAACUCUGUUGUAAGGGAAGAACAAGUACAGUAGUAACUGGCUGUACCUUGACGGUACCUUAUUAGAAAGCCACGGCUAACUACGUGCCAGCAGCCGCGGUAAUACGUAGGUGGCAAGCGUUGUCCGGAAUUAUUGGGCGUAAAGCGCGCGCAGGCGGUCCUUUAAGUCUGAUGUGAAAGCCCACGGCUCAACCGUGGAGGGUCAUUGGAAACUGGGGGACUUGAGUGCAGAAGAGGAAAGUGGAAUUCCAAGUGUAGCGGUGAAAUGCGUAGAGAUUUGGAGGAACACCAGUGGCGAAGGCGACUUUCUGGUCUGUAACUGACGCUGUGGCGCGAAAGCGUGGGGAGCAAACAGGAUUUAGAUACCCCUGGUAGUCCACGCCGUAAACGAUGAGUGCUAAGUGUUAAGGGGGUUUUCCGCCCCCUUAGUGCUGCAGCUUACCGCAUUAAGGCACCUCUGCCCUGGGGGAGUUACGGUCCGCAAGACUGGAACUUCAAAGGAAUUUGACGGGUGCCCGCACAAGCGUGAAGCAUGUGGUUAAUUCGAAGGCAACGCCGAAGAACUACAAGGUCUUGACUUCCCGGUUGACCACUGUGAGCAUUAGUUCCUUCA